ensembl:snRNA U1 U1 spliceosomal RNA
AUACUUACCCAAAAUACCAUGAUCACGAAGGUGGUUUUCACAGGGUAAGGCUUAUCUGUUGUACUCCAGAGGUGCUGACCCUUGCGAUUUCCCCGAAUGCGGGAAACUCGACUUCAUAAUUGGGGGUGGUGGGGGACUGCAUUUGCAUUCUCCCC